UACGUAGGGUGCGAGCGUUAAUCGGAAUUACUGGGCGUAAAGCGUGCGCAGGCGGUUCGUUAUGUCCGAUGUGAAAGCCCCGAGCUCAACUUGGGAAUGGCAUUGGAAACUGGCGGGCUGGAGUGUGGCAGAGGGGGGGUGGAAUUCCACGUGUAGCAGUGAAAUGCGUAGAGAUGUGGAGGAACACCGAUGGCGAAGGCAGCCCCCUGGGCCAACACUGACGCUCAGGCACGAAAGCGUGGGGAGCAAACAGG
rnacentral:rRNA from 1 species